rnacentral:misc_RNA from 1 species
AAGUCGUAACAAGGUUUCCGUAGGUGAACCUGCGGAAGGAUCAUUAACAUUUGUCUUUGAUGUGGUGGUGUUUGUUGUUGUGUUUUACUUCGGUAGACAUGCAACUCAUCAUCUCAACCCCAUUGUGUGCAUGUUUUGUGUGUGUGUGCGAGUAGUAAAGGGAGGUUUUUAACCCCUCUUUACCUCACCCACUCCACUUCUUUCACUUUCACACCCAAACCCCUUCUUCUCAUCACACUAGACUGACUUUACACCUCGUUUUACUCAGGCUCAACUGAGCAAAACAUCAAUCAGCAUACAACUCUUAGCAACGGAUAUCUAGGCUCUC